rnacentral:rRNA from 1 species
UGAAUAACCUGCGAUCUUGUAGUAAUACAAGGCAUACGGCUCAGUAACGCGUAGUCAACCUACCCUAUGGACGGGGAUAACCUCGGGAAACUGAGAAUAAUACCCGAUAGAACAUUAUACCUGGAACGGUUUAUGUUUCAAAUAAUUUAUUGCCGUAGGAUGGGACUGCGGCCUAUCAGUUUGUUGGUGAGGUAAUGGCCCACCAAGACUAUUACAGGUACGGGCUCUGAGAGGAGUAGCCCGGAGAUGGGUACUGAGACACGGACCCAGGCCCUAUGGGGCGCAGCAGGCGAGAAAACUUUGCAAUGUGCGAAAGCACGACAAGGUUAAUCCGAGUGGUUUCUGCUAAAGGAGCCUUUUGUCAGUCCUAGAAACACUGUUGAAUAAGGGGUGGGCAAGUUCUGGUGUCAGCCGCCGCGGUAAAACCAGCACCUCAAGUGGUCAAGGAUGAUUAUUAGGGCCUAAAGCAUCCGGAGCCUGGUUUGUUAGUUUUCGGUAAAUCCAACCCUUACCGUAUGGGCUGCCCGGAAUACUGCAAGCUAGGGAGUGGGAGAGGAAGACGGUCUCGGUAAGGAAGGGUAAAAUCUUUGUUCAUUGUGACCCUUAGGCGAAGCGGCUACAAAACCNUCCACGG